AACAUUCGUGCUUUCUAACAAGAAAAUGAUCGAGAAAGGGACAAAGGUAUAACAUAUAACCAUGGGUUGGAAAUUCAAAUGUUGGAUCCUUAUCAUUGACUCCCGGAGACAUUGAUUCGUGGCGCGCGAGUCUCUCUGUCGAGAUGAGAUUAUCUUUCGUCAAACGGGAAAUGUCACAAUCUUUGCUCUAACUUGUGCUUACGCGCUCCGCGAUUAAAUUUAACGGAGUUUAUAAACUCCUUCGUUAUCUUGCCAAUUUCGACUAACAAGACGAGAUGUACGAUCAAGAAGAUCUUGGAACACGUUGACGGAAUAUGUAUAUCUUAAAAUAUUUUCUUAGAGAAUAAUAUUUUGACAGACGCACAGCAAGGAAAAUACUCAAAAAAUAAAUGAUCGUUAUCGAUAUACUUUAUUUGCAUUAAUAUUUCUAACGUUAGUCCAACGAUAUAACACGAGCGAACAGAACGAAUUUAACAAAUCGAGAGACCUUAUCGGGCAAUGAUAAGAUACACGCAACAGAAAUAAAUGUUGAAAAAUUUCCGUUUCGACUUGAUGAUGGAUGAAACGAAAGCGAUGGGUGCACAGUUGGACGGUGAAUCGAUCGCGAACAAGCUUGAAGCACGAUCAGUGAGUGGGUCGAUUUCGUCUAACUAACGUUCCCAAAGCUCCUCGGGACAUCCGUUCUUAUCGUCGAUACCGUAACUAAAGCGGCAGAACGGGGCGCCAUAUUGGGAGACCGAGAGAACGCCUUCUACCCCUUUCCUCUGAUAGCAGAACAAAGGAAAUACGCAUACAUGGUAACGAUAGUAAAGUGACUUUCAGUUGGGACCAAAUUGACCGACUCCGUUGACGGAUUAAUUAUCUUCUUUUAAAAAUUACGUACAGAUAUAUCGAUCGUAUAUUUUCACGUCAAAAUUUAAAAUUUUUCAAGAAACGGAAUCGAUGGCUCGUUCCAAUGGCUGAAUCUAUUUUACGCGAGGAGGCAAAAUAUUUAUUGACAAAUACCCAUCGAGGAUGAUAAAUGGCGCGAAAAGCGAUCGAGGCAUUCGAUCGACGUUAAGCUAAUAUAACGAAGUAACGGUGAGCGCGAGUCGACGAACAAAGAAGAAGGCGAGCAAGACGUGAAAUUGGGAACCACUGUCGAAGAUAACCAAUGGUCCAGAGUGGCGCACACGCGUGCUCAUACACGCACGUAUACAUCCUUGCACGUGUACACGCGCACAGACGGCGCUUGUAUGAGAUCUGUGUAGUUCCAAGAAGCGUACAGUCGUCGGAAAAAGUGACGGGUUCUUCAAUGUCUGGGACUGGGAACCGCGGGGGUGGGAGGGCGAGGAAGAGAAGUUGAUGGAAAUGUACGCAUUACCAGUCGAGCAUAUUCAUGAAAGUUUCUUGACAUCGACGCCGUUGCAGGCGAAUGACCAAACAGAACCCAGGAGGUCCUCGAUUGUGCAAAGAAAAAUAUCCAAUUGAAAAAAGGAAACGAUGAUGAAAAAAAAAAGAAAAUAUUAAAUAAAUUCUCGAAAUUUAUGACGAUUUUAAAAAAUAUCGUACAAUAGAAAAUAGAAAAGAGGUUGAAAAAAUGAAAGAUCGUGUUAUACGCAAUCUUGGGCCUUAAUGGAUAAGACGUCUCCGUGUUAUCUAGGUUGUAACCCCUUAUCUACUGCACACGGUUCGCUCUACGGGGCGAUCGACUCUCGAAACACGGACAAACCGUGGUCGAUGCCGCGACUCGACUGUUCGAAUGGUUCUCCCUCUUUUUACUUUAUUUCCGUAUCCGUUAGCAUGAAAGAAGGAUAUUCAUGAAUGUUUUUUUACCCAGGCCAGUCCGACAUGAACGUAAAGGGAUGGUGAGCGAAGAAACAACGGACCGUUUGUGCAUUUUCUGGUGACGUUCACCAACCAACCGGUCGACGCGUCGUCUCGAAGGGCGUCACGUCACCUUUUAUUCCCGUAUAUUUACCCUUUGAUAAAGUUUGAAUCUUUAGAGUUUGAUCGUAGAAAUAAAAAAAAAGAAAAAAAGGAAAGAAAAAGAAAAAAUAAGCAAUAAAUGUUAUAGAAAAAUACGCAUUUUAAUUCGUAAUAACGAAUUAAAAAUUGUUUGACGUAAAUUAUUUUCUUCUUUAUUUUUUAUCGUGUCUAAUCAUAUCUUUAUUCAAGAAAAAUAUUGAAUCGCGCAUCUUUUAUAUUAUCUUUGUUUAAUUAAAGAUUCAAGACACAACAUAAAUGUAACAUGUGAAAAGCAACUGUUGUUUUUAACAACAACAUGCAUCCCGAUAAGUAAUCCAUUUUUAAAUAUAAAACUGCGUUGUUGAAUCAACUUAUCGAAUCUUUAUUUAUUUAACAAAUGAAAAAUUGCUAUUGCAAUUUAUAGCUUAUCUUAUAUUUUUUUUUACUUAAUAAUUAUUUUACAAUUAUUAUUUCGUUUAGAGUUUUCAUCGACAUCGUGCAUUCGUUCUUUGCAUAUCUGUUUACAUUCUAUAGUAAAUAUUUCCAUAAUAGUAAUAAUUUAGGUCUAAAAUCUUUUCUCAUUCAAUAGGGAGACGACCUCUUCGUUCGAAAUGUAAUUCGAUGAUGUAACUCUUUUGAUGUCAUCAUAUUCGUGUAAUUUUCGUCGUGUAAUUCGUGUAAUUCGUAAUGAAAAUAAAUAAAUACAA
rnacentral:lncRNA from 1 species